rnacentral:rRNA from 1 species
UGAAUACGAGACGCUAAGGCGUCGAAGUAGUGUAUGUCAUACUUCCAAGAAAAGCUUGCACUGUCAUAGAUAAAAAACGCCUGUACCAUAACCGACACAGGUGGGUAGGUAGAGUAUACUAAGGGGCGCGAGAUAACUCUCUCUAAGGAACUCGGCAAAAUAACUCCGUAACUUCGGGAGAAGGAGUGCCUUAUUCGUAAGGUUGCAAUAACAAGAUCCAAGCAACUGUUUAUCAAAAACACAGGUCUCCGCUAAGUCGUAAGACGAUGUAUGGGGGCUGACGCCUGCCCAGUGCCAGAAGGUUAAAGAAGUUGGUUAGCAAUUGCGAAGCUGAUAACUGAAGCCAUGGUGAACGGCGGCCGUAACGAUAACGGUCCUAAGGUAGCGAAAUUCCUUGUCGGGUAAGUUCCGACCCGCACGAAAGGCGUAAUGAUUUGGAUACUGUCUCGGAGAGGGGCUCGGUGAAAUAGACUUGUCUGUGAAGAUGCGGACUACCUGCACCAGGACAGAAAGACCCUAUGAAGCUUUACUGUAACUUGAAAUUGAAAUUGGACUUUAUUCGCGCAGUAUAGGUGGGAGGCGUUGAUUAUAAUCUUGUGGGAUUAUUGGAGCCAUCAGUGAGAUACCACUCUUGUAAUGUUAGAUUUCUAACUUUGAAUCAUUAUCUGGUCAAAGAACAGUUUCAGGCGGGCAGUUUGACUGGGGCGGUCGCCUCCUAAACGGUAACGGAGGCGUACAAAGGUUUCCUCUGAACGGUUAGAAAUCGUAUCUAGAGUGUAAAGGCAUAAGGAAGCUUGACUGUGAGACCUACAAGUCGAGCAGGGACGAAAGUCGGUCUUAGUGAUCUGACGGUACUGAGUGGAAAGGCCGUCACUCAACGGAUAAAAGUUACUCUAGGAUAACAGGCUGAUCUCCCCCAAGAGUUCACAUCGACGGGGAGGUUUGGCACCUCGAUGUCGGCUCAUCGCAUCCUGGGGCGGUAGUACGUCCCAAGGGUUGGGCUGUUCGCCCAUGAAAGCGGUACGCGAGCUGGGUUCAGAACGUCGUGAGACAGUUCGGUCCAUAUCCGGUGUAGGCGUUAGAAUAUUGAGAGGAGCCUUCUUUAGUACGAGAGGACCGAGAAGGACAUACCUCUGGUGUACCAGUUAUCGUGCCAACGGUAAACGCUGGGUAGCUAUGUAUGGAGUGGAUAACCGCUGAAAGCAUCUAAGUGGGAAGCCCACCUCAAGAUAAG